GCGCGAGCACAGUAUCGGUAGUCCCAGCUACUAGGGAGGCUGAGGUGGGAGGAUCACUUGAGCCCAGGAGUUCUGGGCUACACUAUGCCGACUCGGUGUUUGCACUAAGACUGGCAUUGAUAUGGUAACCUCCCAGAAGUGGGGGACCAUUAGUUUGCCUAAGAAGGGGUGAAGUGGCCCAGGUUGGAAAUGGAGAAGGUCAAGACUCCUAUGCUAAUGAGUAGUGGCACCAUACCUGUGAAUAACCACUACACUCCAGCCUGGGCAGCAUGGUGAGACCCUGUUUCUC
ensembl:misc_RNA Metazoa_SRP Metazoan signal recognition particle RNA